rnacentral:rRNA from 1 species
GACGAACGCUGGCGGCGUGCUUAACACAUGCAAGUCGAACGGAAAGGCCCUGCUUUUGUGCGGUGCUCGAGUGGCGAACGGGUGAGUAACACGUGAGUAACCUGCCCUUGUCUUUGGGAUAACUUCAGGAAACUGGGGCUAAUACCGGAUAGGAUCUCCUGCUGCAUGGUGGGGGUUGGAAAGUUUCGGCGGUUGGGGUUGGACUCGCGGCUUAUGAGCUUGUUGGUGGGGUAGGGGCUUACCAAGGCUUUGACGGGUAGCCGGCCUGAGAGGGUGACAGGCCACACUGGGACUGGGAUACGGCCCAGACGCGUACGGGAGGCAGCGGUGGAGAGUAGUGCAUAAUGGGCGGGAGCCUGAUGCAGCAACGCCGCGUGCGGGAUGACGGCCUUCGGGUUGUAAACCGCUUUCGCCUGUGACGAAGCGUUAGUGACGGUAAUAGGUAAAGAAGCACCGGCUAACUACGUG